UUUAGCUCAUCAUUUCUUAUAGCACAGUAAAAUUCCAUCACAAUUGUAUAUUGCAACUUGUUUAGCCAAUUCCCAGUUGAUGAGUAUCCCUGCAAUUUCCAAUUCUUUGCUACCCCAAGAUGAGCUUCUAUAAACAUAUAGCUUCUUUUCCUUUUUCCUUAAUCAUUUUUGGAAAUAGACCAAGAGAUAUAAUGUUUGAACUACCAAGGUGCUAAGUCUCUGGCAUUAACUUAGGUCCAUAGCUCAAUCUUCUGUCUUUAUUUUUUAAAUUUUUUUUCUUUUUUGUUCAGCAAUCUAGAAAUUUCUCUUCUGUUAAUACCAGUGAUUCCUCUUCCUUCCUAAACCAGGGCUUCCUCAUGUUACAUUUUCAGAUCAGACUCUAAUUGACACCUCUUGCUAGUUCAUGGUUCCAGAUUAGCCUUAUAUACCAUCUUGACUGGUGCAAACAAUGGCACUUCACAAUUAACCUUCAAAUUUUCCUUGGUCAAUCAUUUUGCUGGAAUUUCACUGACCUGUCUUUCUCACCUUGAGGUUGGUUCACAUUUAUUAUUUUUCCCUCUUGUCUCAUCACAUAUGCAGAAGGCUAACCCUAUACAUGGAAAAUAGGGCUGCCAAGUGAAGUACAGGGGUUAGAAACCUCUAAAGAGGGAACAUCUCCCUGACAAGCUGUUAGAAGCUGAGCUGAUCAGAGAUGCAAGUGGCCCCUUCCACUCAAGGAAAAGUUCCUGUGCCCUCUUGGCUGACAGAGGGAGUUCUAUUCAUUUAAUAUUUGAUGGGGCUGCCUUGCCAAUGUUUAUUUAAGUAUUCUCUGUUCAUCAGAGAUUCCUAUGGAGGAGGAAAAUGUGCUGAGGAACAGCACAACUAGCUUCUCAUACUCGGCAAAGGUCAGAAGGGGAAUGGCUGACAAAUUUGACAGAUCUUUUUAAAAGUUUAAUCUCAAAAGUGAUUUUUCUUUCCCUGUAUGAAGACAGAUCCCUAGUCUCUGUCAUUCUUACCAGUCCCAUACAGCAAGUGCUUCACUGGCUGAUCUGUUUUAUGAAAGAAAGAUUUAUCCAUUAAGAAAAAAAAAAAAAAGAAAACUUUGGCUGAACAUAGAUUCCCUUUCUCAGGGAUGAGACUGAAAGAAUCUUAUAUGUACUGGAGCUCAUUUAUCAGCCCAAUAUUCCUGUAUUUGGGCAUAUCAGUUGGAUAUUAUUAUCCUCAUUCUAUUAUAAUGAAUACAAAGUCCCAAAGAGUUUAAGUGAUCUAUCCAGCAUUUCAUAGCUAAUCUAAUCAUUUCACUGAUUCAGAUCUUUCAUUCUUUCUCAAGAUUCUAGUUCUCCAGGCAGCCUAACUGCUGAAUUUGAACUAGGCAACCAAAUUUCAACUAUCUUCCCUAAAUUUCAGGACUGUUCUCCCCAGUUCAGGAUAAAGAAGCCUGUUUACAGCCAAAUAGAAAGCAUCAACUAUCCAUAAUUCUUAGGAAUACUAAUAAGCAGUUCUCAGGGGUAUGGAUAUGUAACAGGAAGGAGGUAAAGAGAGACAGCAGCAUUGUUGAUGGAUGACCACAGCAAGAAGUCAGAGAACCUGCUGAGCCCAGAAUGCAGACAACUGCAGGAGACUGGGGCAUGUUGGGAAGAAGGGAAGGCACAACACAGGCUUUAUGUGUGAGAGUCCUGGAAUGAUCAGAGAGCACUCAGUGGCUCAUAUACGAUGUCCACAUAUCACUCUGACCCAUAGAGGGCAAUUUUGACAUCAUAAAAGUCUGGAUCGUAAGUAUGCAUUUGAACAGCUAAAUGAAUAUUGCCUCCCUCUCUACCCAUCUAUACUGAGAUGCCAUGGAAAAUAACUCCAUUGUCUCAAACUAACUAAUUUAAUUAAAUGUCAUCAUAGAAAACUCUGAUUUGGGGAUCCUUUCUACCAGUUUUCCUUCAGGAAGACAAUAAUGAUGUGGUGGUAGUGGUGGUAGCAGCAGCAAUGUUAAUAGUGAUACUAGUAGCAGCAAUAAUUGCAAUGGUGGUAACAGCUGUAGCAGAGUAAUAGUAGUAGCAAUCGUAGUAGCAAUAGUGAUAGCAGAGGUAGUGGUGAUGGUAGGCAGUUUGGGGACCCAGGACAAACAGCACCAGCCCUGGGGUCAGAAAAUUAGGAAGAAGGGUCUUCCUGAGGUAAAAUAUGGCCUCAGACACUUACUAGCUGUGUGACCCUGGGCAAGUCACUUAACCUUGUUUGCCUCAGUUUCACAUGUAUAAAAUAAACUGGAGAAGGAAAUAGUUAAACCACUCCAUUAUCUUUGUCAAGAAAACCCCAAAUGGGGAACAGACACAACAGUAGCUGCAACAGGAACAACUAUAGGAAUGGUGAUGGUGAUAAUAUUUAGUAUAAGUGGUAGUAGUAGUAGUAGUAGUAGUAGUAGCAGUUGUUGU